CCUGGACAGGCUGCAGAAAGGACAAAGGCCCAAAUGCUGUACAUGCAGCAGCAACAAUCGUGGGAAAGUGCCCAUCACUUUCGUCUUAUCUGACUGAGGAAUCCAAGAUAUGGCAAAUGCAUUCUGAUGAAAAAAUAGGAGUCAAAUAUUUAUGAAGACAAAGGGUCAAGCUAGAAGAAAAGUGCUAGACGGCAACAUGAAGAUACUGGGUACCUGAUGACUUGUUCUUUGGCCUGCAGGGCCUGGCUGAUGCGUGCAACCUCACUGCGCAGCUGCUGCUGCUGGAACCCUGAGCUCCUCACAAAUUGAUCUUGAGCAUCCAGCGUAGCUCUCAAUUCCUCCCUCUCCUCACUCAGAACCUAAUCAGAGGCAAACACAUGAGAUUCGCAGUCUGCAGUAAACUGCUCAGCCAGUUUAUCACUAGAAAGCUGAUUUAAAAAGCAAGCAAGCUCAAUGACAAUCUACCAUGAUACCUGCUGUACUAACAUCUACAAACAGGGCACUAUGAAUAUAUAAUAAAUUCUGUAUACUAACCAAGA